rnacentral:rRNA from 1 species
CUAAAGUCUGGGCCGCACGCGCGCUACACUGACAGAGCCAACGAGUUAUUCACCUUGGCCGGAAGGUCUGGGUAAUCUUGUUAAACUCUGUCGUGCUGGGGAUAGAGCAUUGCAAUUAUUGCUCUUCAACGAGGAAUGCCUAGUAAGCGCAUGUCAUCAGCAUGCGUUGAUUACGUCCCUGCCCUUUGUACACACCGCCCGUCGCUACUACCGAUUGAAUGGCUCAGUGAGGCCUCCGGACUGGCUCGAAGAGGUUGGCAACGACCACUUCGAGCCGGAAAGCUGGUCAAACUCGGUCAUUUAGAGGAAGUAAAAGUCGUAACAAGGUUUCCGUAGGUGAACCUGCGGAAGGAUCAUUACCUAGAGUUGUAGGCUUUGCCUGCUAUCUCUUACCCAUGUCUUUUGAGUACCUUCGUUUCCUCGGCGGGUCCGCCCGCCGAUUGGACAAAACUUAAACCCUUUGCAGUUGCAAUCAGCGUCUGAAAAAACUUAAUAGUUACAACUUUCAACAACGGAUCUCUUGGUUCUGGCAUCGAUGAAGAACGCAGCGAAAUGCGAUAAGUAGUGUGAAUUGCAGAAUUCAGUGAAUCAUCGAAUCUUUGAACGCACAUUGCGCCCCUUGGUAUUCCAUGGGGCAUGCCUGUUCGAGCGUCAUUUGUACCUUCAAGCUCUGCUUGGUGUUGGGGGUUUGUCUCGCCUCUGCGUGUAGACUCGCCUCAAAACAAUUGGCAGCCGGCGUAUUGAUUUCGGAGCGCAGUACAUCUCGCGCUUUGCCCUCUUAACGACGACGAUCCAAAAGACAUUUUUCCCUCUUGACCUCGGACAGGGAGGGAACCCCUGACUUAGCUUUCAUAAGCGGGGAAAAAACCACGGGAUGCCUAUUACGGGAGGGAGGGCACCGCUCCAAUUUAAAUUGGGGCUCGCGCCCAUUUAAUUUCAAGGGGCUUUG